rnacentral:rRNA from 1 species
AUGAGAUGCGUAGCUGAUGGGAAGCAGGUUAAUAUUCCUGCACCGUCGUAUGAUGCGAUGGGGGGACGGAUCGCGGAAGGUUGUCUAGCUGUUGGAAUAGCUAGUCUCUGGUUCAUAGAAGGCGCUUAGGCAAAUCCGGGCGCAGGAUUCAAGGGACUGGGACGAGACACUUAGGUGUUGAAGCAAUCGGAAGUGGUUCCAAGAAAAGCCUCUAAGCUUCAGUCAUACGAGACCGUACCGCAAACCGACACAGGUGGGCGGGAUGAGUAUUCUAAGGCGCUUGAGAGAACUCGGGAGAAGGAACUCGGCAAAUUGGUACCGUAACUUCGGGAAAAGGUACGCCCUUGUAGCUUGGCUGAUUUACUUCAGUAGGGCGAACGGGUUGCAAUAAACUGGUGGCUGCGACUGUUUAAUAAAAACACAGCACUCUGCAAACACGAAAGUGGACGUAUAGGGUGCGACGCCUGCCCGGUGCUGGAAGAUUAAAUGAUGGGGUGCAAGCUCUUGAUUGAAGUCCCAGUAAACGGCGGCCGUAACAAUAACGGUCCUAAGGUAGCGAAAUUCCCUGUCGGGUAAGUUCCGACCUGCACGAAUGGCGUAACGAUGGCCACACUGUCUCCUCCCGAGACUCAGCGAAGUUGAAGUGUUUGUGAUGAUGCAAUCUACCCGCGGCUAGACGGAAAGACCCCAUGAACCUUUACUGUAGCUUUGCAUUGGACUUUGAAUCAAUCUGUGUAGGAUAGGUGGGAGGCUUUGAAGCGGGGACGCCAGUUCUCGUGGAGCCAACCUUGAAAUACCACCCUGGUUCAUUUGAGGUUCUAACCUUGGCCCGUUAUCCGGGUCGGGGACAGUGCAUGGUAGGCAGUUUGACUGGGGCGGUCUCCUCCUAAAGUGUAACGGAGGAGUUCGAAGGUACGCUAGGUACGGUCGGACAUCGUGCUAAUAGUGCAAUGGCAUAAGCGUGCUUAACUGCGAGACUGACAAGUCGAGCAGGUACGAAAGUAGGACAUAGUGAUCCGGUGGUUCUGUAUGGAAGGGCCAUCGCUCAACGGAUAAAAGGUACUCUGGGGAUAACAGGCUGAUUCCUCCCAAGAGUUCAUAUCGACGGGGGAGUUUGGCACCUCGAUGUCGACUCAUCACAUCCUGGGGCUGUAGCCGGUCCCAAGGGUAUGGCUGUUCGCCAUUUAAAGUGGUACGUGAGCUGGGUUUAAAACGUCGUGAGACAGUUUGGUCCCUAUCUGCCGUGGGCGUUGGAAAUUUGAAGGGGGCUGCUCCUAGUACGAGAGGACCGGAGUGGACAGACCUCUGGUGUACCGGUUGUCACGCCAGUGGCAUUGCCGGGUAGCUAAGUCUGGAAGAGAUAACCGCUGAAAGCAUCUAAGCGGGAAACUUGCCUUAAGAUGAGAUUUCCCAGAGCCUUGAGCUCUUUGAAGGGUCGUUCGAGACCAGGACGUUGAUAGGUCAGGUGUGGGAGU